GGGAAGCUUGCUUCCGCUGACGACCGGCGCACGGGUGCGUAACGCGUAUGCAACCUACCUCAUACUGGAGAAUAGCCCUUGGAAACGAGGAUUAAUGCUCCAUAGUAUCACAGAUUCGCAUGUUUCUGUGAUUAAAGAAUUUCGGUAUGAGAUGGGCAUGCGUCCCAUUAGCUUGUUGGUGAGGUAACGGCUCACCAAGGCAACGAUGGGUAGGGGGCCUGAGAGGGUGACCCCCCACACUGGUACUGAGACACGGACCAGACUCCUACGGGAGGCAGCAGUGAGGAAUAUUGGGCAAUGGAGGCAACUCUGACCCAGCCAUGCCGCGUGAAGGAUGACUGCCCUAUGGGUUGUAAACUUCUUUUAUAUGGGAAGAAACUUAUCUACGUGUAGAUAACUGACGGUACCAUACGAAUAAGGAUCGGCUAACUCCGUGCCAGCAGCCGCGGUAAUACGGAGGAUCCAAGCGUUAUCCGGAUUCAUUGGGUUUAAAGGGUCCGUAGGCGGGUCUUUAAGUCAGUGGUGAAAGCCGACAGCUCAACUGUCGAACUGCCAUUGAUACUGGAGACCUUGAGUACAAAUGAAGUAGGCGGAAUGAGUCAUGUAGCGGUGAAAUGCAUAGAUAUGACUCAGAACACCGAUUGCGAAGGCAGCUUACUAACAUGUAACUGACGCUGAGGGACGAAAGCGUGGGGAGCGU
rnacentral:rRNA from 1 species